GGGUUGUGAGGUUAAGCGACUAAGCGUACACGGUGGAUGCCCUGGCAGUCAGAGGCGAUGAAGGACGUGCUAAUCUGCGAUAAGCGUCGGUAAGGUGAUAUGAACCGUUAUAACCGGCGAUUUCCGAAUGGGGAAACCCAGUGUGAUUCGUCACACUAUCAUUAACUGAAUCCAUAGGUUAAUGAGGCGAACCGGGGGAACUGAAACAUCUAAGUACCCCGAGGAAAAGAAAUCAACCGAGAUUCCCCCAGUAGCGGCGAGCGAACGGGGAGC
rnacentral:rRNA from 1 species